GCAACAGCCAGAGAGAUGGUGGUUAUGCAUUAACAAAGGGUCAAAGGCUCAACAGCAUCCAAAGCGAAGGCCAGAAAGGGAGGAGCUGGCCCAAAGUUGGUUGAGUUGCUACUUUUUUUAGAUGAAAUGCCCGCCACCUUUGCAAAGCUUUCUAGGUACAGACAAAGGUUGUGUUCAAGCACAAACACAAAGCCAAUCAGAAGAGUCCAGUCAAGUUCAGGCCAUGUUAAGCCACUGUGAAAACUUGUCAAAGCAACUACAGAUGGUACAAACAGUAAAGGCUAAACAAGUGAAAGAUUGAGUUAAUGGAUUAAGUGGGGACAACACCUAACAUGUACUGCAAGAGGGUCAAGAGCAUUCAGUUCUAUCUUAACUGAUUCCAUUGGCUUCCCUGCUCCCAAAGAUUGUCAACAGUAGCAGUGCAAGAAUGCAAAAGCCUUGUAUCUCACUGUUUCAGAAAGAGCAUGUCUGAAUCUUGUAGUCUCAAGUCUGCUUAAAGAAUAAUCUAGCUAGCUAAUGUUAGUUGGUAAUGGAGUGCACACUAUCAAAAGGCAUACUCAUGUCCAUCCUCUUGUCUCUUGACAAAACGAAUGAAAGGAGAAGAGAGAGAGAGAGAGAACGACAUCAGGAUAACUGUA